rnacentral:miRNA from 1 species
UUCAUGUAUUAGAUUGAUGGAAAAGUAAUUGCUGGUUUUGCCAUUAAAAGUAAUGUAGUAAAAAUGGCCAAACACAGUGGCUCAUGCCUGUAUUCAUUCUC